GACAGAGGCCUCAAGCGUUAGGCGGAAUCACUGGGCUUAAAGCGUGUGUAGGCGGAUCGUUAAGUGUCUUGUGAAAUCCCACGGCUCACCCGUGGAACGGCUGGGCAUACUGGCGAUCUUGGGCCAACUAGGGGCAACUGGAACAAGCGGUGGAGCGGUGAAAUGCGUAGAUAUCGCUUGGAACGCCGAAGGUGAAAACAGGUUGCUGGGGUUGUGCCGACGCUGAGACACGAAAGCGUGGGUAGCAAACAGG
rnacentral:rRNA from 1 species